GACGAACGCUGGCGGCGUGCUUAACACAUGCAAGUCGAACGGAAAGGCCCCUUUGGGGGUACUCGAGUGGCGAACGGGUGAGUAACACGUGAGUAACCUGCCCUUGACUUCGGGAUAACUUCAGGAAACUGGGGCUAAUACCGGAUAGGAAUCCUUGCUGCAUGGUGGGGGUUGGAAAGCUUCGGCGGUUUUGGAUGGACUCGCGGCUUAUCAGCUUGUUGGUGGGGUAGUGGCUUACCAAGGCUUUGACGGGUAGCCGGCCUGAGAGGGCGACCGGCCACCUUGGGACUGAGAUACGGCCCAGACUCCUACGGGAGGCAGCAGUGGGGAAUAUUGCACAAUGGGCGGAAGCCUGAUGCAGCAACGCCGCGUGCGGGAUGACGGCCUUCGGGUUGUAAACCGCUUUCAGCAGGGGCGAAGCUUGUGGUGACGGUACCUGCAGAAGAAGCACCGGCUAACUACGUG
rnacentral:rRNA from 1 species